rnacentral:rRNA from 1 species
AUGAAGGCUUUGGCGUGGAACUGCAACGGCCUUGGAAACGCCGCAGCAGUACGUGCGUUGGUGGAUAUCCAGCGCAGUUGAGCACCUGAUGUGAUGUUCUUAUCAGAAACUCAUUUAGACAGCUAUCCGGCAGAGUGUUUGAGGAAAAGAUUGAAGAUGGACCAAAAGCUUGUGUGCCCUAGUGAUGGGAGAAAAGGUGGACUGUUGAUGUUUUGGAAGAAGGAGAUCAAUAUACAGAGGCUAGAGCUUGACCCUAUGUAUAUAGAUGUUCAAGUCAAUGAUGGGGCCAAUCAAGCUUGGAGAUUAACCGGGAUGUAUGGUGAAUUCCAAUGGGAAGAUAAAUAUAGGACGUGGGAUCGUAUGCACCAGCUUCAUAGUGCGUAUGGUCUCCCAUGGUUACUGAUCGGAGACCUCAAUGAAAUUCAAUCAGUUCACGAAAAGGAAGGAGGUAACCCUCGUCCUCAACCAUAUAUGAUGGUUUUCCAGUCGGCUAUUGAGCAUUGCGAGUUACGCGACCUCGGUUUUGUUGGAGACCGAUUCACAUGGCAAAGGGGAAGAAUUCAGGAAAGGCUAGACAGGGGCUUGAUUAAUGAUGCAUGGUCAGUGUUAUUCCCUGAAGCGGCUUUGGAGAAUCUGAAAUAUAAUCAUCGCGGUCACCGACCCUUACUUGUGAAUACGGAGUACUACUCGUUACCGAACCAAGCUGGUGUGGGACAGCCAAGGAGGUUUGAGGCAAGGUGA